rnacentral:tRNA from 1 species
GAGCAUGUAGUUCAGUCUGGUAGAACGACACGCUGAUAUCGUGUUAGUCGCAGGUUCAAAUCCUGCUUUGCUCACUA